rfam:Triticum aestivum genome assembly, contig: Triticum_aestivum_CS42_TGACv1_scaffold_641725_T_6BS-0.111322_3B-0.108206
UUUGUACUCCCUCCGUCCGAAAUUACUUGUCGUAAAAAUGGAUGUAUCUAGACGUAUUUUUAGUUCUAGAUGCAUCCGUUUUUAUCCAUUUCUAUGACAAGUAAUUCAGGAUGGAGGGAGUAUGAC